GACGAACGCUGGCGGCGUGCCUAAUACAUGCAAGUAGAACGCACAGUUUAUACCGUAGCUUGCUACACCAUAGACUGUGAGUUGCGAACGGGUGAGUAACGCGUAGGUAACCUGCCUGGUAGCGGGGGAUAACUAUUGGAAACGAUAGCUAAUACCGCAUAAUAUUAAUUAUUGCAUGAUAAUUGAUUGAAAGAUGCAACUGCAUCACUACCAGAUGGACCUGCGUUGUAUUAGCUAGUAGGUGAGGUAACGGCUCACCUAGGCGACGAUACAUAGCCGACCUGGUAGGGUGAUCGGCCACACUGGGACUGAGACACGGCCCAGACUCCUACGGGAGGCAGCAGUAGGGAAUCUUCGGCAAUGGACGAAAGUCUGACCGAGCAACGCCGCGUGAGUGAAGAAGGUUUUCGGAUCGUAAAGCUCUGUUGUAAGAGAAGAACGGGUGUGAGAGUGGAAAGUUCACACUGUGACGGUAUCUUACCAGAAAGGGACGGCUAACUACGUG
rnacentral:rRNA from 1 species